AUACGUAGGUGCCAAGCGUUAUCCGGAUUUACUGGGCGUAAAGGGCGUGUAGGCGGUCUUGCAAGUCAGAAGUGAAAUUCCUGAGCUCAACUCGGGCGCUGCUUCUGAAACUGCAGGACUUGAGUGCUGGAGGGGAUAGCGGAAUUCCUAGUGGAGCGGUAAAAUGCGCAGAUAUGAGGAAGAACACCGGUGGCGAAGGCGGAUAUCAGGGCAGUAACGGUCGCUGAGGCGAGAACGCGUGGGGAGCAAACAGGAUUAGAUACCCUGGUAGACCACGCUGUAAACGAUGAAUACUAGGUGUAGGGGGUAUCGACUCCCUCUGUGCCGCAGUGAACACAAUAAGUAUUCCGCCUGGGGAGUACGGCCGCAAGGUUGAAACUCAAAUGAAUUGACGGGG
rnacentral:rRNA from 1 species